CCUAAUACAUGCAAGUCGAGCGGACCGACGGGAGCUUGCUCCCUUAGGUCAGCGGCGGACGGGUGAGUAACACGUGGGUAACCUGCCUGUAAGACUGGGAUAACUCCGGGAAACCGGGGCUAAUACCGGAUGCUUGAUUGAACCGCAUGGUUCAAUCAUAAAAGGUGGCUUUUAGCUACCACUUGCAGAUGGACCCGCGGCGCAUUAGCUAGUUGGUGAGGUAACGGCUCACCAAGGCGACGAUGCGUAGCCGACCUGAGAGGGUGAUCGGCCACACUGGGACUGAGACACGGCCCAGACUCCUACGGGAGGCAGCAGUAGGGAAUCUUCCGCAAUGGACGAAAGUCUGACGGAGCAACGCCGCGUGAGUGAUGAAGGUUUUCGGAUCGUAAAACUCUGUUGUUAGGGAAGAACAAGUACCGUUCGAAUAGGGCGGGACCUUGACGGUACCUAACCAGAAAGCCACGGCUAACUACGUGCCAGCAGCCGCGGUAAUACGUAGGUGGCAAGCGUUGUCCGGAAUUAUUGGGCGUAAAGCGCGCGCAGGCGGUUUCUUAAGUCUGAUGUGAAAGCCCCCGGCUCAACCGGGGAGGGUCAUUGGAAACUGGGGAACUUGAGUGCAGAAGAGGAGAGUGGAAUUCCACGUGUAGCGGUGAAAUGCGUAGAGAUGUGGAGGAACACCAGUGGCGAAGGCGACUCUCUGGUCUGUAACUGACGCUGAGGCGCGAAAGCGUGGGGAGCGAACAGGAUUAGAUACCCUGGUAGUCCACGCCGUAAACGAUGAGUGCUAAGUGUUAGAGGGUUUCCGCCCUUUAGUGCUGCAGCAAACGCAUUAAGCACUCCGCCUGGGGAGUACGGUCGCAAGACUGAAACUCAAAGGAAUUGACGGGGGCCCGCACAAGCGGUGGAGCAUGUGGUUUAAUUCGAAGCACGCGAAGAACCUUACCAGUCUUGACAUCCUCUGACACCCUAGAGAUAGGGCUUCCCUUCCGGGCAGAGUGACAGUGUGCAUGCUGUCGUCAGCUCGUGUCGUGAGAUGUGGUAGUUCCGCACGGAGCGCA
rnacentral:rRNA from 1 species